CAGCACCGCGGGAAUACGAAGGGUGCAAGCGUUAAUCGGAAUUACUGGGCGUAAAGCGUGCGUAGGCGGUGAGUUAAGUCUGCUGUGAAAUCCCCGGGCUCAACCUGGGAAUGGCAGUGGAUACUGGCUCGCUAGAGUGUGUCAGAGGAUGGUGGAAUUCCCGGUGUAGCGGUGAAAUGCGUAGAGAUCGGGAGGAACAUCAGUGGCGAAGGCGGCCAUCUGGGACAACACUGACGCUGAGGCACGAAAGCGUGGGGAGCAAACAGGAUUAGAUACCCCCGUAGUCCCUGUCUCUUAUACA
rnacentral:rRNA from 1 species